rnacentral:rRNA from 1 species
UACAGAGGUCUCAAGCGUUGUUCGGAUUCAUUGGGCGUAAAGGGUGUGUAGGUGGCGCGCUAAGUCGGGUGUGAAAUCUCGGAGCUUAACUCCGAAACUGCAUUCGAUACUGCCGUGCUUGAGGACUGGAGAGGAGACUGGAAUUUACGGUGUAGCGGUGAAAUGCGUAGAUAUCAGGAGGAACACCGAUGGCGAAGGCAGGUCUCUGGGCCACUACUGACGCUGAGAAGCGAAAGCAUGGGGAGCGAACAGG